GUGGGGAAUCUUGCGCAAUGGGCGAAAGCCUGACGCAGCCAUGCCGCGUGAAUGAUGAAGGUCUUAGGAUUGUAAAAUUCUUUCACCGGGGACGAUAAUGACGGUACCCGGAGAAGAAGCUCCGGCUAACUUCGUGCCAGCAGCCGCGGUAAUACGAAGGGGGCUAGCGUUGCUCGGAAUUACUGGGCGUAAAGGGCGCGUAGGCGGACAUUUAAGUCAGAGGUGAAAGCCCAGGGCUCAACCUUGGAAUUGCCUUUGAUACUGGAUGUCUUGAGUUCGGGAGAGGUGAGUGGAAUGCCGAGUGUAGAGGUGAAAUUCGUAGAUAUUCGGCGGAACACCAGUGGCGAAGGCGACUCACUGGCCCGAUACUGACGCUGAUGCGCGAAAGCGUGGGGAGCAAACAGGAUUAGAAACCCCGGUAGUCC
rnacentral:rRNA from 1 species